rnacentral:rRNA from 1 species
GAUGAACGCUGGCGGCGUGCCUAAUACAUGCAAGUCGAGCGAAGGGACGAGAUGCUUGCUUCUCUGAUGUUAGCGGCUGACGGGUGAGUAACACGUGGAUAACCUACCUAUAAGACUGGUAUAACUUCGGGAAACCGGAGCUAAUACCGGAUGAUAUUUUGAACCGCAUGGUUCAAAAGUGAAAGACGGUCUUGCUGUCACUUAUAGAUGGAUCCGCGCUGCAUUAGCUAGUUGGUAAGGUAACGGCUUACCAAGGCAACGAUGCAUAGCCGACCUGACAGGGUGAUCGGCCACACUGGAACUGAGACACGGUCGAGACUCCUAGGGGAGGCAGCAGUAGGGAAUCUUCCGCAAUGGGCGAAAGCCGGACGGAGCAACGCCGCGUGAGUGAUGAAGGUCUUCGGAUCGUAAAACUCUGUUAUUAUGGAAGAACAUAUGUGUAAGUAACUGUGAACAUCUUGACGGUACCUAAUCAGAAAGCCACGGCUAACUACGUG